GUCGGCCCUCCUCAGAAGCCACUUGGACUGAACCCUCCACUGAAUGUCCAGCUGUCCUGUGGACCCCCCUGGAUGCCAACCUUGUAACUGGCUAAAGAGAGUUAAGUCACCUUUCUAGCUUCUUUAAAAUUCCUAGCAAGCCUCAAACAUGAAGAAGAAAAGAAGGUUGGGAGGAGAAUGAAGAAGGAAAGGAGAAAGAGAGGGAGAAAAGAAAAAAAGAAGGUACAUUUUUGUCUUCCAAAACCAAGCAACUGGAUUAACUUUUGUGCUGAUUUAAGCACACAUUGAACCACCUGAAUUUUUCUAUCAUUUACACCUGUUUCUGAAAUAGCUUCAACUCUUUUGCCUUUGACCCACUUUGAUUCAGUUCUAUGUGGAAUCUGUGCUCUUGGACUCUUCCACCACAGAGCUGGCCAUAGAAGCAGCUGGGAAAACCUCCCAGGGAACAGCUGGUGUUUAAGGCCCCACAACUCGGCCAUCAUCCAGGGUGAAUAUUGGUUUUCUGCAACAGUGGGGUUUUGGAGACACAGUUUAAUAAAAUACACUUCGUAUUUGUGUUGGA